GGGGGUGUAGCUCAGUGGUAGAGGGCUUGCCUACCAUGCAGGAGGUCUUGUGUUCCAUCCACAGCACUGCAA
rnacentral:tRNA from 1 species